rnacentral:rRNA from 1 species
CUUGAAAAAGUAUAAGAGGUCCAGCCUGCCCAGUGACAAAGUUCAACGGCCGCGGUAUCCUAACCGUGCGAAGGUAGCAUAAUCACUUGUUCCUUAAAUAGGGACUAGUAUCAACGGCAUCACGAGGGCUGCACUGUCUCCUUUCUCCAAUCAGUGAAACUGAUCUCCCCGUGAAGAAGCGGGGAUUAUAUUAUAAGACGAGAAGACCCCAUGGAGCUUUAAGCAAUGAAUUUACCUCUGAUUAAAACUUCUUCUAAUUUCAAAAGCCUAAGUUCUAGCUUUUGGCUGGGGGGACCGCGGAGUAUAACUUAACCUCCGCAACUAAUGGGCUUUGCCCUUAUCUAUGAGCCACAACUCUAAGAAUUAAUAAACUAAUGCCUUUGACCCGAAAACCUCGAUCAAUGGACCA